GACGAACCGUGCAAACGUUAUUCGGAAUCACUGGGCAUAAAGGGCGCGUAGGCGGCUUUCUAAGUCAGGGGUGAAAUCCGGCAGCUCAACUGUCGCAGUGCCUUUGAUACUGGAGAGCUCGAGGGAUGUAGGGGUCUGUGGAACUUCCGGUGGAGCGGUGAAAUGCGUUGAUAUCGGAAGGAACGCCGGUGGCGAAAGCGACGGACUGGACAUCUUCUGACGCUGAGGCGCGAAAGCCAGGGGAGCAAACGGG
rnacentral:rRNA from 1 species